rnacentral:lncRNA from 1 species
GCUGUUUUAAAUUACAGUGGACUGAAUGAUAUUAGCUUUAUUGUAGUUGGACUGACGCUCUGCUUUCUCUUAAUCGUCUUAAUGUUGUGAUUUGUCCCUUAGCCAGCAGUUGCACUGCAUUUAUUUAUAACACUCAAGGUUUAAGUCGAAAGUAACAGAUUGGUUGGAUUGUCUUGUACACAUGGAACACGAUCAAAGCAAUGGACUACUCAGUUAGGGAAAUUCAAGCUUCACUGCAAGGGAGAGCCUAUAUGUUCAAGGCUAGGAUUUUCCUUGCAUAACAGAAAAGAUUGACUCUCAAACAGAUCUAUUCUAAUUUUCCUAGAAGGAAGGCAUUUUUUCCAAGACUUGCAUGCUAUUGUGAGCUACAUAAUCGCAUCCUACUUCAAUUUCUUCUUGAGUAAUCAGGCAAAAGGUUAGCCAUGGAAAUCUGCAAAUUGCUAUGUACUGCAAUUAAUAACAGAUAGCAGAACUCAUUAAUCAUAUCAAGAACUAAUGUCUACUCAGGGCCAAAUCUCAAGUACAUCAUAUGUGAUGUUAAAAUUUCUGAAAACUUGCUUAGUAUGGCUGUUAAACUUGCUUCCAUGUGAAGUUUUGGCAGUUCGUUAGAAAUGUGCUUUUUCUUUAGGAGAAAACAAAUGGAUGUAGGGUUCGUUUUGUUCAGUUGUCAAAAUAAGAAUUUAAAAAAUCAUUCCCAAGGAACAGCAAAAAAUCUGAACACAAGAUUCUGAUUCAAGGAACAGGAGGAAGUCCUUCUACUCUGCUAAGUAUUGGAAGGAUCCCAAGUGAGAUCCACUCUCCAGCUUGACACUACACUUAAAUAAAGUUGCAGACAAAUUGCAGCGUAUACAGGAAAACAAUAAAAGGAAUUUGCUUAAAUACAUGGCAUUUGAAGGAACAAGAACUGCAUGAAGGUGGUGGCGAAAAGAAAUACAACGUGCUAGAAGUCUUCAUCUAUGUGAAAGGCUACAGUAUGGCAGGUUGUUUAGAGAGUGAGAUCAAGAGGCCAUGCCUGCUGCUUCAGGAGAUGGAAGAAAUGACAAGAACUCCAAAGAUAUAGACUCUCCAAGCAUGCUGGAUUGACAGGUCCAUUUUCUGCAUUUAAAACACUGUAAAAACAUUGCAGCAAGCCUGGGAUUUAUUCUUGCACAGGAAAAUAAUUAUGAAUAGCAUACUAUUUGCACAAGUUUUAAAAGGUAUAACUGGGACUCUAUCAUCUUCAUUAGCUUAUCUUUACAGAAAUGUUCAGUAACUAAAUCUUAAAAUUGAGAUCAGAACAAAAAAUGAAAAAUCUGAACACCAUCAGAAAUGCUGAUGUGAGUUGGUCAAGUACUUUUCUAGGUCCACGGCAACUUCAUUUGUUUGUUUUGACUGGAGAAAAAUAGUGGGUAAACUUUUAAAAACAGACCAUAGUUCUAACUUUGAAAAAAAAAAAAAAGAAGAAGAAGAAG